AUUGAACACUGGCGGAAUGCUUUACACAUGCAAGUCGAACGGCAGCACGGACUUCGGUCUGGUGGCGAGUGGCGAACGGGUGAGUAAUGUAGCGGAACGUGCCCAGUCGUGGGGGAUAACGUAGUGAAAAUUACGCUAAUACCGCAUACGAGCUAAGGAUGAAAGCGGGGGAUCGCAAGACCUCGCGCGAUUGGAGCGUCCGAUAUCAGAUUAGGUAGUUGGUGGGGUAAAGGCCCACCAAGGCAACGAUCUGUAGCUGGUCUGAGAGGACGACCAGCCACACUGGAACUGAGACACGGUCCAGACUCCUACGGGAGGCAGCAGUGGGGAAUUUUGGACAAUGGGCGAAAGCCUGAUCCAGCCAUUCCGCGUGCAGGAUGAAGGCCCUCGGGUUGUAAACUGCUUUUGUACAGAACGAAAAGGUUUCUACUAAUACUAGGAGCUCAUGACGGUACUGUAAGAAUAAGCACCGGCUAACUACGUGCCAGCCGCCGCGGUAA
rnacentral:rRNA from 1 species